UACGUAGGUGACAAGCGUUGUCCGGAAUUAUUGGGCGUAAAGGGAGCGCAGGCGGUUGGAAUAGUCUGAUGUGAAAGCCCACGGCUUAACCGUGGAAUGGCAUUGGAAACUGGGUCACUUGAGUGCAGAAGAGGAAAGCGGAAUUCCAUGUGUAGCGGUGAAAUGCGUAGAUAUAUGGAGGAACACCAGUGGCGAAGGCGGCUUUCUGGUCUGUAACUGACGCUGAGGCUCGAAAGCGUGGGUAGCAAACAGG
rnacentral:rRNA from 1 species